AAGGAAAAUUUGAUCCUGAUUCGAUCAGAAUUUUGACUUGACUAAUUUCUAAUUGGGUUAGAAAUUUGAUGAGAUAUCAAGAUUUUUAAUUAGAUUAGGUUCAUUUCUAUCAGUGGGGUCAAUCCAAAUUUGAUUUGAAUUAGAAUCAGAAUUGAAAAUGAAGAGUCCUUAUCAACUUGGACUCUAUCCUUAUCUCUUGCACCACUCCUGAACCCAUGCCAAUUUCUCCAUGCCUAAUU
rnacentral:lncRNA from 1 species